rnacentral:rRNA from 1 species
UACAGAGGUGGCAAGCGUUGCUCGGAAUUACUGGGCGUAAAGGGCGCGUAGGCGGUCUUUUAAGUUCCGUGUGAAAUCCCUCGGCUCAACUGGGGAACUGCACGGGAAACUGGAAGGCUUGAGUUCGGGAGAGGGAAGCGGAAUUCCGGGUGUAGCGGUGAAAUGCGUAGAUAUCCGGAGGAACACCGGUGGCGAAGGCGGCUUCCUGGACCGACACUGACGCUGAGGCGCGAAAGCGUGGGGAGCAAACAGG